CCGUCAUGUGCUCAUCCACACAAUGGAUGUUCUGCCUUUUAACCCUUUGGCUCCUCCCAAAGUUCUGUCCGUCGACUCCUUCUUCGCUGUCCAGUGGUGGAGAUCACUUCCUGACAUCUUGAUUGGAGGAAAGUAAACCUUGUUUUUCACAAUUGGGAGCUCAUCUGGGAUGUUACACCUUGCUUCUGAGACCACCAGGAGAUCCCGAGUGGGGGAGGCGCGCCCUGCUGAGUUUGGCGGCCUGCUCUGUUUUUUCUGGCAUGAUGGGCAGUUGCAGGUUACCACCCCCUGGACAAAAGGAGACACAUAAAGCAAAGAAAAGGGAAAAUACUCUUUAAACCACAGUAGCUAGUCCCACAGUUCUUGUGCACAAAGACCCAAAGAAGAAAAGAGGAUUGGUAAGUACUUUUUGGGGGGGGAAGAUAUGGGGGAUGAAUGCUGUGUUAUUCCAGACCUGCAAAGUGAUUGUGGAGUUUCUGAGGGCUGCAGUACAGUUCUUUCACAAAAAUAAACGGCCAGUGAGGAAACAAAGUGAGAGAUAAAAGGAGUGAGAGAAUCCCCCGGGGUGACUGGGAGUGGGUCUCAGAGAAGGGGUGGGACCCCUUGGAGAAAGAGAGAAGAGGGUUUUCUAGCACAAUCCAGUAGGAAAAGGAACAAAAGUGGUGGCCCAAGAAAGAUGCCAGAUUGAGGGAUACCUGUGGCAAUGGGGGUUUGAAGAUGUUUAGUCUCUCCCUGCCUGUGGCAGUGGGGGUUUGAAGAUGUUUAAUCUGUGUCUGAAGUUGUUUACCCCAUCUUGCCCUGGCAGUUAGAAGAAUUCCAGAUGUUUCCCUGUCUAUCCUCAAAAAUCCUGCCCCUUUAUCUAGAGAAUUCCCUGUCAGUUAGGAUUUUUGCUUUCUGCCAUUGGUCUGUGCCUUUCCGGCUCCAGGAUGUGUUUACAUUUGCCAGUCUAAGCUAGCCAGACAGUCCCCUCCCUGGUUUCCACCCCUGUCCUCCAUAAAAGCCGCUGUUUUUCUCUGCUUCCCCACUCUUUUUGCCAUUGUCCCCCAUUCGAGUGCCACCAUUCCCAUGUCCCGCCUGGUGCAGCACAGAAGCCAGUAGCCCCAGCUUGCCCCUCCACAGCAAGAGAGAAGAACGCCUGCGUGGUGCAGCACCAGCUGUCUUGCUCCGGUGAUGGAAAAGCCCCUCCACCACCUGCGCUGCCACUCCUGCUGGCGCGGCUCCUGCUUUGGUGGGGAUCGCCUGCCCGGCCGCUCCUACCCAUGCUGUCUCUGCUGCCGCCACUGCCUGUGAGUGUUGCCUCACCUACCUCUCUUUGGCACUGCCCCUGCCGUGGGAAGGAAUAACUCCCAAGCGGCGCCGCCCAGACACCGCUUCUGCACAGGAAAGAAAAAAAGGCACCUUGGAGAAACAAGAAUAGAGCCCUUCCUUUUCCUUUGUCCUGAUCCUUCGGCAUAGGUCCACGUUUAUCGGCUGCUUCUGGAGGUCUGGACCACAGCCAGUGGCCAAAUCGCAAUCCUGCCUUCCGGCAGAAGAGAGACUGCAUUCACGGGGAGGCAAUGCCUUGAAGCCAAAGAGAGUGCAGUGAAGCAGUGGCGGGAACAGAGACGGCUGAGGAGGGUGUGAGAUGCCCUCUGUCUUCAGAGAAGAAGAAGAUCUCUGUUCACUAGGCCCCUUGGCCCCAGGGGGUGAAUCUGGGGGGGACUGGUGUCCCGAAGCUGAGAGAUUGCUGCUUUUGUUGGAACUGGGCGGGGCAUCCUUAAAAAGGGAUCCCUAAAGGCAGUCCUGGUCCACGUGCAGUGGUGAGAGCACUAGACAUGGAGAGAAGAAGUCACGAGGGCAAAUGUUCUCGGGGCAGUGCCACGAGUGACAUGGAAACACAAGAAGUUUCAAUUGUGUUUCCAGGGAGAAGUCUAUGGUGCAAGGGGAGACCCCUCUCUCCCUGAUAGACUUGAGAGUUGAUUAUUUGAGGGGUGAUAAUGGACUCAAAAACUGAUUAUCUAAGAGAUGGUGACAAUGUGGAAAUCUACGAUAUCAUUUCAUGCUGUGGAGGAAAAGGGGGGAGGAGGAAGAAUGUUUUUGGAGAGUUUUCAUUCUUAAUUUUGUGUCUGUUCCUUUUUAGAUGCUGUAGUUAAUAAAGUUUGUUUCCUUUAUUCCUAAGUUAGAGCCUGCUUUGCUCUGUUCCCGAUCGCAUCUCACAGAAGCCACUAGAGAAAGUGUAUUUUCAUGGGGGCACUGGCAUUGUGCCAGGGUCAAUCUAUGACAGAGGGAAUGCCCUCACCUAAAAAAAGGACCAGAAAAUAUUCCUAGAGAUACACCCAGAAGAAGAAUAGAAAGGUCAUGGGCUCUAUUUUCUGGGGGAUAAAUACCAUCUAGAGCCUUUGGAAACUUUAAAAGAAGGCCCCCAAGAGGAGGUAUUUGAAUUUAUAGUUGAUACUGGCGCAGAGAGAACUGUGUAGUAAAUAUUCCAAGGCAAUGUUAUGUGAGUAAUGACACGGUGAAGAUAACAGGAGCAAAAGGAGAAGGGUCUAAAGUUCUUGUCACUAAAAAUGUAGUAAUUGAAGGGAAAACCAGAAUAAGGAUGUGUUGUAUCGUGCUUUUUGUUUUAUUAGUAGGUUUAUGGUUUGAUUUGUGGUUUGGUGGUUUUCCCUGUUGCUGUUUUCCUUUUGUCUCCGCCUUUUCCCAGUUAUUUUGUCAGCUAGUUUCUAGUUUCUAUUUCUCCAAACUUUAGCCGUUUACCGAAACUGUUUUUCCUCCCUUGGAAUUUUAUUGGUUCACUGUUGUUAAACCCGCCUGGGUUUUUUACUCCUGUGAUAGAACAUGGCGUGUUUUGUUCACUAAGGGAUUAAAGUAAGACAACAGGAAACAGACUUCCAAGCACUUGAGAAAACCUGGGACUAAAGUAAAAUAACAAGAAACAGACUUCCAGCUCUUGAUAAAACCCGGGACUAAAGUAAGAUAAUGGGAAACAGGCUUUCAGCACUUGAUAAAACCCACAUUGUCCAAAACAUGCUUGCCUAACAACUUUUAAGUUUCAGAGAGAUAAGCAUUGGUGCUAAAUAAGGAAUGGGUCACCCAGAGGAAAUCUGAGAAAAAAAAACUACCGGCCUUCACCUAGAGACCACCGGGAGGCAGGAUACGACCACCUAGCAACAGAAGAACACAUACGCAGAGUACGACUUAAAGGACACGUCGGCAGGAAACGAUACAGUAUAAAAAACCGACUGGAACUGACUGUGGCCGCAGCAGUUGGUGGAGUAAAAACUCCCCUAUCGCCUAACGCUGCUUUGCUUAUGCCUUGUUUGCUGUAAUCAAUAAAUUCUUGUUUGAUUAUACCAAUAAGGCAUGUCCCAAUUUAUCAUAAUUUGGUGCCGUGACUCGGAUGGGACUAUUGCGGUGAGACGGACUCAUUGGGGAGGCGCCCCACCAUUGGUGGCCUCGGUGGGUCCCCUCACCCUACUCCCGCCAAUGAACCUAAAAUUCAAGGCAUUAAGCAAAGGUGACCGGUCGACCCUGUAAAUUUUGUGCACAAAGGUCCGGACGAAGACGCGGGACGCAGACUGCAAUACGGACAGCUGAAAAGGGAUGGACACAUGCCAGCAGAAUUAAGGGACCCGUGAAGGAGCCAUCAUCCGAGUGGCAGAUAACUAGCCCUCCUGGGGAUUUGAAACUGAGAAUUCGCAGAAAAGACUGUUAAUGACCACAUAUUGGAUUGAAUACCUCCCGAAUCCAUGCUAUGUAAAUAAGGGACUGAUUAGUAAACUGCAUGUUAGAAUAAGGUGUGGAAAUUCAGAUUGUAAUUGUUAUCCAUUUGUAUGUUACAUAUGUAAGGUGUGUGGGGAAAAGUGGUGGAUUCAUUGUAGACGGGGGAUUCCACCGAGGGGGAUCUGCACCCCUUGUUGGACCCUUCAACGCAAAAUAACCAACUGGGUUUUAGCUUAUAAAGUCUCUCGAGGGGAACUGGACUUGGAAUCAGAAGAGUGGUGGGAGAUAUACACCAAAGGGGUUGACCCAGACUUCUAUUGCUACCACUCUAAUGAGCCAACCCCCUUUGUAGCUGAAAUUACUAGGGCCAUUUGUCGCAAGUACCUGAAAGAGGUCCAGAGUUAUACUCCUGGAAUUAAGGACUCUAAUUGGGGUACCUAUAUUGAAAGGCAGAGGGCUAUAAGAGCUCGUUCUAGGAAACCUCCUGAAGAAUACCCCUGCUGCUGAGAAGAUGGUACCCCCCGUGGCUCGACGCAACCAAGUCAACGGGCGAGGCAGAGGAGUAAACAACUGUGGAGGAAAGAACCCACAAACGGGGAUACCAGAGUGAUGCUCAGAGAACUGCCUCAGGAGUGGGACUAAAAGCCCUAAAGAUCCUUGGUACAACACGCGACAUCUAACUAAGGGAAGAUUAACAUCAGCUCACAAUUAUUUAUUAAAUCGUACCCAUGCCGUCGACAACCUCCACCACUUAAUCCAACACACUAUAUUUUUGCUGAUUAUAUUUUGUUUAGGAAAAGCUAAUAGCGAAGACACACAUCCUCAUGAGCCCUUUACAUGGACUUUAACUAGGUGGAGUGAUAACAAAAUCCUGCAAACAAUCACCACUGUAAAGGGACCAAGUUUCCAAGUGGGAUUAUGUGAUUUAACUGCUAUUGAACACUGUGGCAAGGUACUAAACUUGACCAGGAUUCUAUAUGUGUCCAAGUGCUAACCGAGGAAAACCAUACUGUAACUACCCAGGGGAAUACUUUUGUGGGUACUGGGGAUGCGAGACCAUAGCCUCCCAUUGGACACCGGGGGGGGGGCCUGACUCACACAUACAAGCGGGGUUUGGACCAGCCAAAUGCACUAAACAAACCUCGGCAUAUCUAGGUAAUUGUGCAUUUGUCUAUAUAAAUGUCACUCAGCCGGGAGACCAAGGGUGGCUCUUAGGGAAAACCUGGGGAGUGAGACACUGGGAACCUGGAAAAGAUAGAGGGAACCUAAUACUAAUUAAGAAAGAGAAAGCCCCAAACGAUCCCCCAGAAUUAAUAGGGCCAAAUAAGGAACUGGGAGGACUAGACAGAGUGAUUAAAGACCCGCACAAUAUCACCUGGGAAUCUGAAAACAAAAUGGUCACCCCACAGGGAAAAAACAGGACUAUGAAAGCAGGGUCAGAAUAUAGCGAAUAUAGUACCCUAUGGAAAGUUAUGCAAGCUAGUUAUGGAAUUCUGAACAAAACAAACCCCGAGUUGACUAAGGAAUGCUGGUUAUGUUACAACAUUAGGCCACCGUUUUAUGAAGGUAUUGGGAUAACAUCAAAAGUUAGGAGAAUAAAUGGAACAAACCCAUCACAGUGUCUUUGGAGAAGGAAGAAGGAAGUAUCCCAAGGAUUAACAAUAUCCCAAGUUACUGGGAAAGGGAGAUGCAUAGGAAAUAUCCCCAAGGAUAAGGAACAUUUGUGUGGGGUUAUUAUGCUACAGAAACAAGAUGAGAAACCGGCUGACUGGCUACUGCCAGCCGCGAACACUAGAUGGGUUUGUAAUAACAUAAGAAUUACACCUUGUCUUUCUUUGAAAUUGUUUAAUUAUACCCAGGAUUACUGCAUUCAAGUGUCCAUAAUACCUAAAAUUACGUACCACUCUAGUGAGUAUGUAUAUAAGCAGCACACUACGGCAGAUCAUCACCUAGAGAAAAGAGAACCCCUUACCGCAAUAACCAUAGCGACCCUCCUUACUAUAGGAGGAAUAGGAGCAGGUACCGGGGUAGCCUCCCUGGUAAAUCAGCACAAAGACUUCGGGAGUUAAGAAUUUCAGUAGAUGAAGAUUUGAAUAGGAUAGAACAGGCUAUUGAUGGAUUGGUAAAAUCAGUACGAUCUCUGCCGGAAGUGGUCUUACAAAAUAGAAGAGGAUUAGAUUUACUAUUCCUGCAACAAGGGGGAUUAUGUGUAGCGCUAAAGGAAGAAUGUUGCACAUAUGCAGACCAUACCGGAGUUGUCAUAGAUACAAUGGCAGAACUAAGAAAACGGUUAGAAGAGCGGAGAAAAGAAAGAGAAGUGCAACAAAACUGGUAUGAGUCAUGGUUUAAUCACUCACCCUGGCUGACUACUUUACUAUCUACUAUUACAGGACCCCUGAUUUUUCUGAUAUUUGGACUCACAUUUGGGCCCUGUAUAUUUAAUAGACUGAUUUCUAUAGUAAAAGGACACCUGGAAGCUGCACACCUGAUGCUUGUUAGGAUGAGAUAUGAGUAAAUACCAAAAGACGAAACUCUGGAAUUAGCUAGGCAAGAACUGCAAAGAUUCAGUGAACAAAAAUGAACAAGAGAAAAAGGGGGGUGUUUGUGAUAGAACAUGGCGUGUUUUGUUCACUAAGGGAUUAAAGUAAGACAACAGGAAACAGACUUCCAAGCACUUGAGAAAACAUGGGACUAAAGUAAAAUAACAAGAAACAGACUUCCAGCUCUUGAUAAAACCCGGGACUAAAGUAAGAUAACGGGAAACAGGCUUUCAGCACUUGAUAAAACCCACAUUGUCCAAAACAUGCUUGCCUAACAACUUUUAAGUUUCAGAGAGAUAAGCAUUGGUGCUAAAUAAGGAAUGGGUCACCCAGAGGAAAUCUGAGAAAAAAAAAACUACCGGCCUUCACCUAGAGACCACCGGGAGGCAGGAUACGACCACCUAGCAACAGAAGAACACACACGCAGAGUACGACUUAAAGGACACGUCGGCAAGAAACGAUACAGUAUAAAAAACCGACUGGAACUGACUGUGGCUGCAGCAGUUGGUGGAGCAAAAACUCUCCUGUCGCCCAGCGCUGCUUUGCUUAUGCCUUUGUUAUGAAUAGAAAGUUGUAUUUUUUUCAAGUUUCAGAGUUAAAAAAAAAAAAAACAAGUGAAACCAGUGAAACCGGUCAGACUCCUUUGGUUUCGCUGCCAAAGAAAAAGUUCUUAAUUACCCGUUAAUGGCCGGUGAUAAACUAUUGUUCCCCUGAUGCUGGCCGUUUGCCAAGAAGACACCAAGAGAAACCCUCCAGGGUAAAGAGAAUGGGCAGUGACACCAGAGCCAACAUGCAAAUGAGAAAUGCAUUGCACCCUGGGUUUUUACAGUUUUACAGUUUUUACAAGAAAAACCCCUAAAAUCACGAGCCAACAAGUGACUUAAGUGACGUCUAAGGAUGGGAGUAUUGUCCCGUACCUGCUUGGACCUUUUUGUUUCUCACCCUAACCUCAAAAGAUACUGAUUAAAGAGACACCCCGGGUUUUUAAACAAACAAGCUAGGACUCUACGACUCUCCCGUGAGGACAGAGUCCCCAGCUCUGUCUGCAGACCAGUGGACAAAGCUGCGUCAUCCUCCUUCU